rnacentral:rRNA from 1 species
GACGAACGCUGGCGGCGUGCUUAACACAUGCAAGUCGAACGGAAAGGCCCUGCUUUUGUGGGGUGCUCGAGUGGCGAACGGGUGAGUAACACGUGAGUAACCUGCCCUUGACUAUGGGAUAACUUCAGGAAACUGGGGCUAAUACCGGAUAGGAGCUCCUGCUGCAUGGUGGGGGUUGGAAAGUUUCGGCGGUUGGGGAUGGACUCGCGGCUUAUCAGCUUGUUGGUGGGGUAGUGGCUUACCAAGGCUUUGACGGGUAGCCGGCCUGGGAGGGUGACCGGCCACAGUGGGACUGAGAUACGGCCCAGACGCCUACGGGAGGCAGCAGUGGGGAAUAUUGCACGAUGGGCGGAAGCCUGAUGCAGCAACGCCGCGUGCGGGAUGACGGCCGUAGGGUUGUAAACCGCUUUCGCCUGUGACGAAGCGUGAGUGACGGGAAUGGGUAAAGAAGCACCGGCUAACUACGUG